GCUAGUAAUGGCAGGUCAGCAUACUGCCGUGAAUACGUUCCCGGGCCCUGUACACACCGCCCGUCACACCAUGAGAGUUGGAGAUACCCGAAGCCUGUGAGCUAACAAACGAGGCAGCAGUCGAAGGUAGAAUCAAUGAUUGGGGUGAAGUCGUAACAAGGUAGC
rnacentral:rRNA from 1 species